GAAAGGCCGGUUCCAGUACGAUCAUCGAAGUUAAGUAACGUCAAGCCUAGUGAGUACUAAGAUGGGUGACUUCUUGGGAAUACCAGGUUCUGUAA